rnacentral:rRNA from 1 species
AUUGAACGCUGGCGGCAUGCCUUACACAUGCAAGUCGAACGGCAGCACGGGUGCUUGCACCUGGUGGCGAGUGGCGAACGGGUGAGUAAUACAUCGGAACAUGUCCUGUAGUGGGGGAUAGCCCGGCGAAAGCCGGAUUAAUACCGCAUACGAUCUACGGAUGAAAGCGGGGGCCCUUCGGGCCUCCCGCUAUAGGGUUGGCCGAUGGCUGAUUAGCUAGUUGGUGGGGUAAAGGCCUACCAAGGCGACGAUCAGUAGAUGGUCUGAGAGGACGACCAGCCACACUGGGACUGAGACACGGCCCAGACUCCUACGGGAGGCAGCAGUGGGGAAUUUUGGACAAUGGGCGAAAGCCUGAUCCAGCAAUGCCGCGUGUGUGAAGAAGGCCUUCGGGUUGUAAAGCACUUUUGUCCGGAAAGAAAUCCUUGGCUCUAAUACAGUCGGGGGAUGACGGUACCGGAAGAAUAAGCACCGGCUAACUACGUG